GAGAGAGGCUCGACAGCAACGAUGACUGCUAAUCUUCGGCACCGUGGUUAGACCCCGCGGCUCACUCGCAC
rnacentral:tRNA from 1 species